UGCCAGACUCCUACGGGAGGCAGCAGUGGGGGAUAUUGCACAAUGGGGGGAACCCUGAUGCAGCGACGCCGCGUGGGUGAAGAAGUAUUUCGGUAUGUAAAGCCCUAUCGGCAGGGAAGAAAUUGGACGGUACCUGACUAAGAAGCCCCGGCUAACUACGUGCCAGCAGCCGCGGGAAUACGUAGGGGGCAAGCGUUAUCCGGAUUCACUGGGUGUAAAGGGAGCGUAGACGGCCAUGCAAGCCUGGAGUGAAAGGCGGGGGCUCAACCCCCGGACUGCUCUGGAAACUGUACGGCUGGAGUGCAGGAGAGGUAAGUGGAAUUCCUAGUGUAGCGGUGAAAUGCGUAGAUAUUAGGAGGAACACCAGUGGCGAAGGCGGCUUACUGGACUGUAACUGACGUUGAGGCUCGAAAGCGUGGGGAGCAAACAGGAUUAGAUACCCGAGUAC
rnacentral:rRNA from 1 species